rnacentral:rRNA from 1 species
CCUACGGGGGGCAGCAGUGGGGAAUAUUGGGCAAUGGGCGCAAGCCUGACCCAGCAACGCCGCGUGAAGGAAGAAGGCUUUCGGGUUGUAAACUUCUUUUCUCAGGGACGAAGCAAGUGACGGUACCUGAGGAAUAAGCCACGGCUAACUACGUGCCAGCAGCCGCGGGAAUACGUAGGUGGCAAGCGUUCUCCGGAUUUACUGGGUGUAAAGGGCGUGUAGGCGGGAAAGCAAGUCAGAUGUGAAAACCAUGGGCGCAACCUGUGGCCUGCAUUUGAAACUGUUUGUCUUGAGUACUGGAGAGGCAGGCGGAAUUCGUAGUGUAGCGGUGAAAUGCGUAGAUAUUAGGAGGAACACCAGUGGCGAAGGCGGUCUGCUGGACAGCAACUGACGCUGAGGCGCGAAAGCGUGGGGAGCGAACAGGAUUAGAUACCCGAGUAGUC